GAGCUACUCCCUCCGUCCGAAAAUACUUGUCAUCAAAAUGGAUAAAAAGAGAUGUAUCUAGAACUAAUAUACAUCUAGAUACAUCCCCUUUUAUUCAUUUUGAUGACAAGUAUUUCCGGACGGAGGUAGUACUUC
rnacentral:pre_miRNA from 1 species